rnacentral:rRNA from 1 species
GACGAACGCUGGCGGCGUGCUUAACACAUGCAAGUGGAGCGACGAACCGGGGGUUUGCCCCGGGGCAAAGCCGCGAACGGGUGAGUAACACGUGGGUAACCCACCUCGAUGACCGGGACAACCCGAGGAAACUCGGGCUAAUACCGGAUGUGCUCUUUCUCCUCAAGGAGAUCGAGGAAAGAUAGCUUCGGCCUUCGCAUCGAGACGGGCCCGCGGCCCAUUAGCUUGUUGGUGGGGUAACGGCCUACCAAGGCUGCGAUGGGUAGCUGGUCUGAGAGGACGAUCAGCCACACUGGGACUGAGACACGGCCCAGACUCCUACGGGAGGCAGCAGUGGGGAAUCUUGCACAAUGCGCGAAAGCGUGAUGCAGC